GCCGGAAGAUGCAGAACUGCAAAAGAAGUGGUCUAAUUUAGGCUGGAAGAUUAGUCCUUGGUAAAGAGAAGAAGACAGGUGAAAAUGGAAAAUAUACUGUCAGAACAGAUCGUCCGAAAGAAGGAAGCGAAAUUUAGAGCCCGAUUCUGCGGGUGGAUUCAAAUACUUCGAUAUUCGAGCUGUUCGAAAAUCGGCCCACUGGAACGAAGGCACUUUUAAAAUGUAAAAAAAAGUUAAAUAGAAACAAAAUCAACCAGCAAGUAAACUGGAGGCGUUUCACGAUCUCGCAGCCUUAAAACGCUAUUUGGAUCCGCAAUGGCAACUGGUAUUGAUCGAAAAGUUGAAUAAAUAGUC